rnacentral:rRNA from 1 species
AUUGAACGCUGGCGGCAUGCCUUACACAUGCAAGUCGAACGGCAGCACGGGAGCAAUCCUGGUGGCGAGUGGCGAACGGGUGAGUAGUACAUCGGAACGUGCCUAGUAGUGGGGGAUAGCCCGGCGAAAGCCGGAUUAAUACCGCAUACGACCUGAGGGUGAAAGCGGGGGAUCGCAAGACCUCGCGCUAUCAAAGCGGCCGACGCCAGAUUAGGUAGUUGGUGGGGUAAAAGCCUACCAAGCCGACGAUCUGUAGCUGGUCUGAGAGGACGACCAGCCACACUGGGACUGAGACACGGCCCAGACUCCUACGGGAGGCAGCAGUGGGGAAUUUUAGACAAUGGGCGCAAGCCUGAUCCAGCCAUGCCGCGUGCAGGAAGAAGGCCUUCGGGUUGUAAACUGCUUUUGUCAGGGAAGAAAAGUUCUGGGCUAAUACCCCGGAGCGAUGACGGUACCUGAAGAAUAAGCACCGGCUAACUACGUGCCAGCAGCCGCGGUAA